rnacentral:tRNA from 1 species
CCUUCGAUAGCUCAGUUGGUAGAGCGGAGGACUGUAGUGGUAAAGCCCGGCUAUCCUUAGGUCGCUGGUUCGAAUCCGGCUCGAAGGA